rnacentral:rRNA from 1 species
UGCAUAUCCAAUAAGCGGAGGAAAAGAAACCAACAGGGAUUGCCUUAGUAGCGGCGAGUGAAGCGGCAAAAGCUCAAAUUUGAAAUCUGGCUCUUUCAGAGUCCGAGUUGUAAUUUGAAGAAGGUAUCUUUGGGUCUGGCUCUUGUCUAUGUUUCUUGGAACAGAACGUCACAGAGGGUGAGAAUCCCGUGCGAUGAGAUGAUCCAGGCCUAUGUAAAGUUCCUUCGAAGAGUCGAGUUGUUUGGGAAUGCAGCUCUAAGUGGGUGGUAAAUUCCAUCUAAAGCUAAAUAUUGGCGAGAGACCGAUAGCGAACAAGUACAGUGAUGGAAAGAUGAAAAGAACUUUGAAAAGAGAGUGAAAAAGUACGUGAAAUUGUUGAAAGGGAAGGGCUUGAGAUCAGACUUGGUAUUUUGUAUGUUACUUCUUCGGGGGUGGCCUCUACAGUUUAUCGGGCCAGCAUCAGUUUGGGCGGUAGGAGAAUUGCGUUGGAAUGUGGCACGGCUUCGGUUGUGUGUUAUAGCCUUCGUCGAUACUGCCAGCCUAGACUGAGGACUGCGGUUUAUACCUAGGAUGUUGGCAUAAUGAUCUUAAGUCGCCCGUCUUGAAACACGGGACCA